UCUCACUGGAUUUAUGGAGGAGAGACUACCUAAGGGGAGCAGUAAAAAUGAGAGUGCAGCUCUGCCCAGAUGGCCAUGUGAAGUUGGAGUGGGCCAGGAUUCCCCCAGUUGGACUCUCACAUACCUGUGGACCUCAAGUGCUCCUUCAUAUGUGUUUUCAAUGAACUUCAUCCAAACCACAUCAAAUGGCUGUGUAUAACACUAAGGAAAUGUCAUAUUGUCUCCUAG
rnacentral:lncRNA from 1 species